ensembl:lincRNA C030034I22Rik RIKEN cDNA C030034I22 gene
GUGACCGAACUGCCCGCGCGGAGAGGACUGGCGGCGGAGAACUGCAGCAAGAGCAGGAAACCCACGGGACCGCGGACGUGCGCGAGGCUCGAGGCCGUGCUGCACCGAGGGGCUCGACUCGUGGCGCCGUGCGGUCACUUCCGGCCUGCGGGGGGUACUUUUUAAAGGGAUAGCGGGUAUUUCCGAACCCACGGGGGCAUCGCCACGCCGCGGUGUCGCCGCUGGGGCCGGGGCUUCUGUGGGUUCUAAUGAUUCUGCCGUACGUGCUUUGCCCUAAUUGUCAACUGUUUUGUCAAGUCCGCGUUGGCUCCAAGAGAGACCUUCCCUGACGUUUUCAGUGCCCGCGGAGUGGACAGCCCCGGCGGAGCAUCUGACCGCCCGCUCCCCGGCUCCCGCUGCAGCUGUCAUUCACGUCGAUGAUGCUGUUUUCCUUAGAGAUCCGAGUGUACAAAUGGACUGAUGCUGCAAAGUCCGUGGGUGGGGUUGGGGUGGGGAGAGUACUUCUGCCUGCCGGGUCUUCAGAGAUGCGUUUACACUUCGAUGAGUAGCGCUGACAAGCCACGUCUUGUUAGGGCGGUUGCAUUAGACCGAAUAGCACAGGUUUCCUUCACCGAUUUGAGCUCGGGCAGCAUUCAUCAUCUGGAGGGGGAUCUUUCCUUAUCUACCUCUCCUUUCUACUGUUUGAAGUGUAAAUUCAUCUUAGGUUAUUGAGUUUUCAGUACUUUGAUUGUAUCCAAAUGGAAGCAUUCAAGUGUGAUAUUGUCUGGCAGUAAAUUUACUUUAAAAAAAAAAAAAAAAAGCUUACCCUGUGGACUAUCACAUGAGUUAAAUAUCCAAGAUAAAAGAGUGAACAGAGAGUUGCAGGAGGACUAAGAAACACGAGUAAACAUGAGUAACCGUGAUAACGGUUAUAAUUUGCUUUAAAGAUCAUUUACAUUUUCUUUUUAAAUUUCCUGUGUGUGAGUUCUUUGCCUGGAUGUGUGUCUAUUCACGAUGUGCUAGAGCAACCAGAGCUCUUAACCACUGAGCCAUUUCUCCAACCCCCAAAGAGUAUAUAUUUGCCUUUUGAGAGAGAACAGUUUUUAGUCGUUUUUGUCAUUUCCAUGGACGUGGGAAAUUAAAAUUCCAAAUUUAUUUCUUGGCUAUUUUACUAGGGAAUCUAACUUAAUAAAACGGAUGUUCUGUUGAACCUACAGGUCAUACAUUGGGAUAAGUUAGUUCCAAAAGCGUAGUUACCACCUCGAUGUACUUUAAUGUUAGUCAUUAAAAUUCUCUAAGUGGUGUGGAAAAGUAAAUAACGUACACAUCAAAGAAGGGGCUCUUGGGUUCUAGGAGGGAUGGGGCAAGGCUUAAACAGACACCUUUCAGUCUCAGGCUUAGUCUGGAGGACAUGAAGUUCUUGUCUGUAGUUUUAUAGGUUAAGAUUAUUUUCAUUGCUGUGGGAAAGAAUGUUUUUAGUUUAGUUUAGUUUUUUUUUUUUUC